rnacentral:rRNA from 1 species
GGUUCGAUCUGGCUCAGAUUGAACGCUGGCGGGAUACUUUACACAUGCAAGUCGAACGGCAGCACGGACUUCGGUCUGGUGGCGAGUGGCGAACGGGUGAGUAAUGUAUCGGAACGUGCCUAGUAGCGGGGGAUAACUACCACGCGAAAGCGUAGCUAAUACCACGCUUCGCCCUUCGGGAAAGCGGGGACCUUCGGGCCUCGCACUAUUAGAGCGGCCGAUAUCGGAUUAGCUAGUUGGUGGGGUAACGGCUCACCAAGGCGACGAUCCGUAGCUGGUUGCGAAGGACGACCAGCCACACUGGGACUGAGACACGGCCCAGACUCCUACGGGAGGCAGCAGUGAAAUUUUGGACAAUGGAAACCCACAGUCCAGCCAUCCCGCGUGUGCGAUGAGCCUUCGGGUGUAAAGCACUUUUGGCAGGAAAGAAACGGCACGGGAUAAUACCCCGUGCAACUGACGGUACACCUGCAGAAUAAGCACCGGCUAACUACGUGCCAGCAGCCGCGGUAAUACGUAGGGUGCAAGCGUUAAUCGGAAUUACUGGGCGUAAAAGCGUGCGCAGACGGUUCGGAAAGAAAGAUGUGAAAUCCCAGAGCUUAACUUUGGAACUGCAUUUUUUAACUACCGAGCUAGAGUGUGUCAGAGGGAGGUGGAAUUCCGCGUGUAGCAGUGAAAUGCGUAGAUAUGCGGAGGAACACACCGAUGGCGAAGGCAGCCUCCUGGGAUAACACUGACGCUCAUGCACGAAAGCGUGGGAGCAAACAGGAUUAGAUACCCUGGUAGUCCCACGCGCCCCUGACGAUAUCAACUAGCUGUUCAGGGCCUUCGGGCCUUGGUAGCGCAGCUAACGCGCGUGAAGUUGACCGCCUGGGAAGUACGGUCGCAAGAUUAAAACUCAAAGGAAUUGACGGGGACCCGCACAAGCGGUGGAUGAUGUGGAUUAAUUCGAUGCAACGCGAAAAACCUUACCUACCCUUGACAUGUCUGGAAUCCCGAAGAGAUUUACGGGAGUGCUCGCAAGAGAACCGGAACACAGGUGCUGCAUGGCUGUCGUCGGCUCGUGUCGUGAGAUGUUGGGUUAAGUCCCGCAACGAGCGCAACCCUUGUCAUUAGUUGCUACGAAAGGGCACUCCUAAUGAGGCUGCCCGACGUCAAACCGGAGGAAGAAGACGGGGAUGACGUCAAGUCCUCAUGGCCCUUAUGGGUGAGGGCUUCACACGUCAUACAAUGGUCGGGACAGAGGGUCGCCAACCCGCGAAGGGGAGCCAAUCAGAAACCCGAUCGUAGUCCGGAUCGCAGUCUGCAACUCGACUGCGUGAAGUCGAAUCGCUAGUAAUCGCGGAUCCAGCAUGUCGCGGUGAACGUUCCCGGGUCUUGUACACACCGCCCGUCACACCAUGGGAGUGGGUUUUUUACCAAGUAGUUAGCCUAACCGUAAGGAGGGCGAUUACCACGGUAGGAUUCGCAAACUGGGGUGAAGUCGUAACAAGGUAA